rnacentral:tRNA from 1 species
AGAGACUUAGGAUAGACAGACCAAGGGCCUUCAAAGCCCUAAGUAAGGGUGGGACCCCCUUAGUCUCUG